UACGUAGGGUGCAAGCGUUGUCCGGAAUUAUUGGGCGUAAAGAGCUCGUAGGCGGUUUGUCGCGUCUGCUGUGAAAACUCGGGGCUUAACCCCGGGCCUGCAGUGGGUACGGGCAGACUAGAGUGUGGUAGGGGAGACUGGAAUUCCUGGUGUAGCGGUGAAAUGCGCAGAUAUCAGGAGGAACACCGAUGGCGAAGGCAGGUCUCUGGGCCACUACUGACGUGAGAAGCGAAAGCAUGGGGAGCGAACAGG
rnacentral:rRNA from 1 species